AAAAAAGUGUGUUGUUUAUUCCUCCACAAAACUUAAUAUAACUUUCACUUGUAUGUGUUAAAAACAGGCAAAGAAGCAGCCUUCUUAUCUCUGAUCUACUGGUUUACAGAGGCUGUUUUUGCUGACAGCUGCUCUGCUGCAAAAGCCUGCUGUCCUUACUAAAAAAUGACCAGCGCUAGCCUAAACCUAGGGAAAAACUUUUAUAAACAGGCUUUCUGUGUUUUUAAGCCUGGGUUGUUUCUGCGGACUUGCAUGUUAUUGAAACACCUAUGUCUAAGGGGCUACAUGAAGGUUAUGGGUCUUCAGGUAGGCUUGUCUUUUCAACUGUUUAUUCCUUUCCAAGCCUUUCACCUCUGUUUGUUAAAAAGCAGGUAAAGAAGCAAUCUUCUUCUCUCUGAUCCAAUGGUUAACAAAAUAAGGGGUAUAUAAACCGUCUGUUACUAAAAACCUGGGGUUUUAAAUCUGGGGUGCUUCUGCCUGCUCUUUUACAUUUUAAUGAAACACUUUUGCCAAGGGGGCUAAAUAAAAACAAAAGUGUGUUCAGGUAGCUUGUUUUUCAAAGGGGUCUUCUUCUUUUCUAAUCCGCUACCUUUAAAAGGCUGUUUCAAGUGGGUCACACUAAAAACCUUGGGGGGGAUUGAGGGUACUUUUUCUUAGUAAGGGUUUUGUGGGUUUAGGUCUGGGGUGCUUCUGCAUGCUCUUUUUUUAAUUGAAACACCCCUACAAAUAAAGGAAUGUGUCUUCAGGAAAAUGAAUUCUAUGAUGCUGCUGUAAAACCACCUCUGACUGGGCCGAUCCAAAGGCGGUGAUAACAAAUCUGAGAGAAUCUGAACCAGAAAAGUUGCCUCAUUCUACAGAAAGACGUAAAAGGGAACAGAGGAAUCCAGACUGAGCCCUUCAGCAAACAAAUCCUGCUGUCACCCCAACACACUCCUCUUUGGAAUAACAAUGUAGUCUUUUAAGCCAGAGCUCUGCCUGCGCAAAGACUGCAGGAUCAGGCCCAUUGUGUGACAAAACAGAACCUGCCUAUGGGAGCGCAGACGACCUCUGUGCUGAAACCACAGACGUGAGAACACCGCAUUUACUCCCUCCCCCCAUAAAGACAAAACACGGUGAAACCUGCAUUGAUGCUGGGAGGAUUAAUUCGUUAGCUGCUGAGCAACAGUGCAGACCGCAGGCUUGCUUCUGCUCCUGACCUUGCCUUGGAGCCUAGACGCCGGCUUCUGACCUGGUCUGAACCCGCCUCUUCUAUUUGCCUGUUGGCUGCAACUUGGUGCCUGACCCUGACUCCCUGGUAUCCGGACUCCAACUUGGUAACUGAGUCAUUGGCCGCCCGCGACCCAGCCCUGAUAGGGACAGGCAGGACGGAUGCAAUCUCUCAGCCAUUAGCGCUGGAAGGGGAAGGUAAUGAUUGAUGAUUUUUCUGCACAGAGACAAGAUUUGGUUCCAUGUCAGAUUUUAAGAAUGGUCCUGAUUCAGUGAUUUCUGAAUAAACUAAUAAUGGUUCCAAUUGAAAGCCCUUUAGAGGACUAAGGGAAAGGCUUGCUUUGUGCUAAUCCAUAGUUUCUGAAAGCUUGUCACAAAGCCACCCUCAAUAAAAACGGAUCUGACAAUCGUAGCUCUGCAAACCUGACAGUUCCAGCAGUUAGACGGUUGAAAUGUCACACUGGUGUAUGCACGGCCGCCAACCACAGAUCUCCAGAGUCCUCUAUCCUGGGCCAUUUGCUCUAGCUGGUUCCAGGUAUGCCCUGGGAGGUAUAUUGACACACAUGCUGUGAGAGAACAGGCUUGUAUUGCUGCAGUCUAGACAAUUGAUGUCUAUUCCACGGGUCUCAUAAAGUUCUGUUUUCCACUGUAUUCAUCACAGCGGGAACUUAACAAAUAGUCCCUACCGAAAUUCAUGCCUGUAUUUCAGUCAAGGAGUUCUGAGGCCCAGAAUCUAAGACAGGCUGCUUUGUCACCAGAGCCGAGCUGUGUCAUGCCCAGCACUUCACCAUCCCGGUGGUCUGGGCAAGUUUUUUUCAUGAACUUGGGAUUAUGGAUUCUCACUCACUGAGUUUCACUUUGAGUUUCUGGUUCAUUCCCCCCCCCCCCCACAGCUUUAAAUCAAAGCAGCUGAGUGUCACCAUAUUUCCAUUUCACAUGUUUUUGAGCCAAAAACAAUGAGCACAAGUUUUUUUCCUAGAUUUAUUUACUAAAAAUGUCCAUGUCUCUAGAGGUCCCAGUACCCAGCUCAGCUUUUCCUCUACUCUGUGAGGUGGCAGGGACUGUGGUGAGAAAAGCCUCCCAGACUCCCAAUAUCCUGCAAGAUGACUGGCGAUCCCCUUUCCUAGUCUGUUCUGCUGUCCUUGGAGCUGCUCUGCC